GCCGGGCGUGGUGGCGCACGCCUGUAGUCCCAGCUACUCAGGAGGCUGAGGUGGGAGGAUCGCUUGAGUCCAGGAGUUCUGGGCUGCAGUGCGCUAUGCCGAUCGGGUGUCCGCACUAAGUUCGGCAUCAAUAUGGUGACCUCCCGGGAGCGGGGGACCACCAGGUUGCCUAAGGAGGGGUGAACCGGCCCAGGUCGGAAAUGGAGCAGGUCAAAACUCCCGUGCUGAUCAGUAGUGGGAUCGCGCCUGUGAAUAGCCACUGCACUCCAGCCUGGGCAAUAUAGUGAGACCCUGUCUCUA
rnacentral:SRP_RNA from 1 species